rnacentral:rRNA from 1 species
UGGGGAAUAUUGCACAAUGGGCGCAAGCCUGAUGCAGCCAUGCCGCGUGUGUGAAGAAGGCCUUCGGGUUGUAAAGCACUUUCAGCGGGGAGGAAGGCGGUGAGGUUAAUAACCUCAUCGAUUGACGUUACCCGCAGAAGAAGCACCGGCUAACUCCGUGCCAGCAGCCGCGGUAACACGGAGGGUGCAAGCGUUAAUCGGAAUUACUGGGCGUAAAGCGCACGCAGGCGGUCUGUCAAGUCGGAUGUGAAAUCCCCGGGCUCAACCUGGGAACUGCAUUCGAAACUGGCAGGCUAGAGUCUUGUAGAGGGGGGUAGAAUUCCAGGUGUAGCGGUGAAAUGCGUAGAGAUCUGGAGGAAUACCGGUGGCGAAGGCGGCCCCCUGGACAAAGACUGACGCUCAGGUGCGAAAGCGUGGGGAGCAAACAGG